rnacentral:rRNA from 1 species
GACGAACGCUGGCGGCGUGCCUAAUACAUGCAAGUUGAGCGCUGAAGGUUGGUACUUGUACCAACUGGAUGAGCAGCGAACGGGUGAGUAACGCGUGGGGAAUCUGCCUUUGAGCGGGGGACAACAUUUGGAAACGAAUGCUAAUACCGCAUAAAAACUUUAAACACAAGUUUUAAGUUUGAAAGAUGCAAUUGCAUCACUCAAAGAUGAUCCCGCGUUGUAUUAGCUAGUUGGUGAGGUAAAGGCUCACCAAGGCGAUGAUACAUAGCCGACCUGAGAGGGUGAUCGGCCACAUUGGGACUGAGACACGGCCCAAACUCCUACGGGAGGCAGCAGUAGGGAAUCUUCGGCAAUAGACGAAAGUCUGACCGAGCAACGCCGCGUGAGUGAAGAAGGUUUUCGGAUCGUAAAACUCUGUUGGUAGAGAAGAACGUUGGUGAGAGUGGAAAGCUCAUCAAGUGACGGUAACUACCCAGAAGGGGACGGCUAACUACGUG